GUGCUCGCUUCGGCAGCACACAUGCUAAUAUUGGAACGAGACAAAGAUUAGUAUGGCUCCUGUGCAAGGAUGACAUGCAAAUUAAUGAAGCGUUCCAUAUUUAA